rnacentral:tRNA from 1 species
AAGAUACUAGUAUAGUUGGCAGUACACUGCUUUGUCAGGGCAGAGUCGUGGGUUAAACCCCCACGUAUCUUA